rnacentral:rRNA from 1 species
AUGCGGAUUUUUAGGUCUGAUGACAAAAGAUGGUACAUAUGCGAACACAAAUCAAAGCACAACCAUGAGCUUUCAGUUAAUUGUAUGGAAAAAUUGCAUUGGAAGUCGCACCGGCACAUCGAUAGAUACAUGAGGGUCUUGGUGAAGCAGCUGAGAGAAAACAACAUAAGCCUAAGCAAGGUUUACAGUGUUGUUGGAAAUUUUUUUGGAUCUGUGAAGGAGGUACCAUUCACGAAAAGAUCUUUGAAAAAUCUUUGUGAAAAAACUUAA